rnacentral:rRNA from 1 species
UACGUAGGCAGCAAGCGUUGUUCGGAAUUACUCGGCGUAAAGAGUGUGUAGGCGGUGCUCCAAGUCUGGUGUGAAAUCUCCCGGCUUAACUGGGAGGGUGCAUUAGAAACUGGAAUGCUAGAGGAUGGGAGAGGUAAGCGGAAUUCCUGGUGUAGCGGUGAAAUGCGUAGAUAUCAGGAGGAACACCUGUGGUGUAGACAGCUUACUGGACCAUUUCUGACGCUGAGACACGAAAGCGUGGGUAGCAAACAGG